rnacentral:rRNA from 1 species
UAGCCUUUCGAAAGAAAGAUUAAUACCCGAUGGCAUAGUUCUUCCGCAUGGUAGAACUAUUAAAGAAUUUCGGUCAUCGAUGGGGAUGCGUUCCAUUAGGUUGUUGGCGGGGUAACGGCCCACCAAGCCUUCGAUGGAUAGGGGUUCUGAGAGGAAGGUCCCCCACAUUGGAACUGAGACACGGUCCAAACUCCUACGGGAGGCAGCAGUGAGGAAUAUUGGUCAAUGGACGAGAGUCUGAACCAGCCAAGUAGCGUGAAGGAUGACUGCCCUAUGGGUUGUAAACUUCUUUUAUACGGGAAUAAAGUGAGGCACGUGUGCCUUUUUGUAUGUACCGUAUGAAUAAGGAUCGGCUAACUCCGUGCCAGCAGCCGCGGUAAUACGGAGGAUCCGAGCGUUAUCCGGAUUUAUUGGGUUUAAAGGGAGCGUAGGCGGACGCUUAAGUCAGUUGUGAAAGUUUGCGGCUCAACCGUAAAAUUGCAGUUGAUACUGGGUGUCUUGAGUACAGUAGAGGCAGGCGGAAUUCGUGGUGUAGCGGUGAAAUGCUUAGAUAUCACGAAGAACUCCGAUUGCGAAGGCAGCUUGCUGGACUGUAACUGACGCUGAUGCUCGAAAGUGUGGGUAUCAAACAGGAUUAGAUACCCUGGUAGUCCACACAGU